rnacentral:lncRNA from 1 species
AGUGAGGAGGUGAGAGUAGGGGAGAGAGAGUGAGGACCGGCGAGUAGGGACUGAGUUCGGAGACCGAGUCAGGGGACGAUUGGCGGGACCGGGUAACGACUCGCGGACUCGUUGGUUUGAUUUUUGCGUCAAUUCGUAUCUUGCGGAAAAAGCUCGGAUUUUUGGGUUUAUUUUUUUAUUUUUUUGCUGAGUUAAACUUCGUUAUCAGUCACUGUCACGGUAACGUUUGCUUCCCGUUUAUCGAAGUGGUAACCGGGUCAGGCCCAACAAAAGUGAGAGUGGUUACUCGAGGCCCGUUUGGUAUUUUACCGGCUUCUCUACUUAAUUUUUAGAUUUGCUAAGAAUAAUUAUAACCAUUAGAUUAAGUAUAGUCUGAGGCAGUCCCGUCAUCCUUACUCAAUUUAUUUAAUGGUUAUAUAAAAAAUCAAAGUAUUUAACAGUGCCAGCUAGCCCUUUAGUAAAGAAAAAAUAAAAAAAUUCAAGUAAAUUCAAGCAAUUUAAACGUGAAUCCUUAUCGAAUAGCUUUUCUUCUAACUUAGGGUUUAGAAAGUAGUAUUGAUCAUCGUCCCUAUAUUAAGGUAGUAUAACUAUUGAUCGUCCCUCAUUCUUAUCUUCCUCGUAGAGCACUAGUAUUUGACUAUUUGGGGCUCCUCUUUGAUAUUAAUUCUGAUGUGUUGUCUGAUCCUCCAUAGACAACAGCAUUGAGGGAUAGACCAACAUCAUUGGAUCUGUCAUUAAAUGAGGCUGGAUAGCCGAGAUUAAAACAAAAAGUUUCACACUUUAUAUAUAUAUAUAUAUACACACACAAUAAUGAUCAGGUGCAGACGUCCGCACCAAAGUUUUGGUGCGGAUUUCUAUUUUUACACCACUUUUCGAUCGAAUUUCUUCAUCUCCAUCGUCUAGUAUCUAGAUAAUAUUGUGUAGAUAUCUCUGUAAAAUUUCAGCCAAUUUGGUGAUCGUUAAGGCCCUCAAAUUCAAAAAAUAAAUGGACAGACUGAAUUCUGUCCGGUUGUGUUAAUACCAGAAAAACUCUAGUUUGAGGGGCUUAACGAUCACCAAAUNNNNNNNNNNNNNNNNNNNNCGCACUUGUAUCAGCAUUGUAUAUAUAUAUAUAUAUAUAGGGAAGACACUUGAAGCGAUUUAAAAGACAUACUUUGAUACAUGAAAGCCAUCGUCUCUCAGUUCAGCUUCCUUACAACAUAAAUAUUAUAGCAACACCAGAAAUAUAUCUUACAGUUUUUCAUCAGGGUUUAUAGCAUUGAAGGACAGAUAUCAUCAGUGACUCUAAGUCUGAUCACUGUACUUCACCCACUCAAGCAAGGCGGAGAUCAUGGAGAUGAGUAAUGGAGGACAUAAAUGAACCUCCACCGUGUCCAUCCUCAAGGUUGUGGUUGCUGUGGUGAUUAUUGAUAGGGUUGUGAAGAUGAGUAAUGCCGGAGACAAGUGAACCUCCAUCAUGUCCAUGGUCAAGGUUGUGGUUAUUGUGGACGCGAUUGAAAAGAUACAAGUUGGAUGCUCCAUUUGCCAAUGCAACCGCAGAUUCAUAGUCUCCUUCAUCAUCCACAUAACCAUACUGCGGAUCCUCAUUACCUGCCUGCACAAUCAAAAUUCCAAACCAACAUCAGGCUACAUAUAUACAGAAAUAUGUAUCUAUAAAUUAGUUAAGGAAUUAGAAAGCACUCAGGAGUUUGAGGAAUGUUCUUACAUAGCUAUGAACUAAUUGACUGUUUCUCUCCUCCUGGUUCUUCACCUGCAUCAGUGAAAUAUAUAGUUACCAUACAUAAUCCAUAUAAUACAAAAUACCACGAUCUAUUGCACUUAAAAAGUUCCAGCCGAGUAAUUACCUUUUUCCAGGUAGUGUCUGCUUGAGUCUUCAGUACGUGGUACUUAAUCAACCAAUGCCAAUAUACCAUCAUCAAAACCGUCAGAUGUUGAUUAAAAUCCAGAAUGGACUUUCUAUUCAAGGAUGAAUAAGAACUAGGAUGCUUUGCUAAACAGUAAACAGAGAUUCAUUUACCAGAAGAACCAUAUCUUGUAAAGCUAGCUAGUUCAGUCUCAUUUUACAUUUUCGUUUGGUAAAUAUACAUCUCCUGGACAUCUCAAACUUUUAUAAUUAGUUGAAGAUUAAAGCAUUUGGACCCAAAGUCACAUAAAAGUUUCAAUUCUAUAUUAACCUUUUACGAAUUUAAACCAAAAACAAAGUGGAGCUUGUUCGAUCUGAAACCCUAAAUAAAAAUUGAAUUGGCAGAUCUAUAGAUGAUAGAUCCAGGCUUUAUUUACCAACGAAGUGAAAAAACAGAAAAAUACGAAGUUGGAAACACAAUAUAACAAAAAGGUCGGAUCGAGUACCUUUCUUUCACGUAUGAUCUGCACGGAUUGAGCUAUCUUGUCCUCCAGAUCUUGCAGCUCAGCUAAGUUCAGACCAUCUAGAUCAUGCCCCAGCCUUUGCCUAUUAAAUAAUCAAUUCCAAAAAUAAACAAAGCUAUAUUUUGAAAUUAGCAAUCAAUUCAUGUAAAUAUUAAGAGAAAAUUACACAGUCACCUGAUGUCCCUCCUCAGCUUAUUGUUAACCUCCUUCAGUUUCCACAAGUUCUCUUUCAUUGCCUGCAUCCACCAAAAUCAGCAAACAAAAUUAACACAUACAGAAACUCUACAAAUAUUUUGUUUAUAGAAUAAAAAAAAUUGACAGACUCCUUUGGUUAACUUUAAUCACCUCGUAGUGCGAGCUCCAUAGAUCGAUCUGCAAAUUCUUUUGGUAGAGAUCAAACAUCUUCUUGUGCCUGAUUUACAUCCGUAUCAGUUCUAUAUAUGGAAUUAUCAAGCAAAGAUCAAAAGUGAACAAAAGAUCAUAAAUAAAGAGUAGCUAGCUAGAGAUGUUGGACGUACGUAGUGGUAGGGCUAAUAUACUCGUGGAUUUUAUCAGUGGAGGACUGCAUGAUGAGGGAGACAUGAGCAUCACACAGAACCGUGAGCUCUUGAGCCUUCUUGAAGAUCCCAUUUCGUCGCUUCGAAUAUGUCACCUGCCUGUUCGUCUGGUUCUCAAUCAGCUUGAUCUCAAUCUUCCCACGACCCAUUUCAGAAAAUUAGCUCCUCCUUCUUCUGCAACUACUUCUUCUUCUGCUUUGUUCUGGGGUGAUUGUUGGGUUCAAGAAAUGAAGAGUGGGAAAGGAGAUAGAGUCUUAAAGAUGAGAUUGUGGAGGUGGAGGGGUUUCCAUAUCAGGAAAGUGAGGGGAAAAGUUAGGUUGUAGUGUAACUGGGAAUGUCUGUUUGCUAAGGUUAGGUUAUGUCAAUUUUAAAGCAAAGAGCUAUUCUAAGUCUAAGGUUAGGUCACUGCUGAGAGCUUGUGAUGUAGAGGGUACAAGCUUUGGCCAGUCUGCUUUUGACCAUCUCAGAUUCACAGACAACCAUGAAGAGACUAGCUCGGCUAUCACGUACAUUGAUUUGAUCAGCUAGUAACCUAGGUCUCUAAACAUAUAUAGAUACUACUGGUGGAGAGUUAGAUUAAUUUCAUUUCAUAACUAUUUUGCAAGCAAAUGUGCAAAAAUCAUUUGCAUUAUAUAAAUGUAGUGCUAGCUAUAGGUUUCAGCACAUAUCCAACACAGCUAGAUGAGCUAUGAUAGCAUUUUAGAAUUUAGACACACAAAGAAACUACAAAUCCUCUAGCUUGUAUUGUUGAAGGAUACAUCCUUUGUUUGUAGGAAAGAUAGAUGAGGUCUUCCUUAUUGUGUAUUGUGUACAAAUACUACACUAACCUCAGACUGAUACGCAUUUUCUAUUACUCAUGCUGUUGAGAGACUGCAGUUUUGUAUUUCACUCUCACACACCAUGCCUAAGUGCUGUAUACCAUGAGACAAAUCCUGAUAGAAAUCGAAUGACUUACCAAUUUUCAACAUCACACCUAUAUUUACCGUAGGUAGUAAUUAUUCUUAAACAGAGAUUCUAAAGAGGACAUUAUCACUAAUCAAAUGCUGAUAUAGUGAUAUAUAUGUUGUUAUCAUCUCGAUCAUAUAUAUGAGACUAGGGCUCUUAUCAUUAGCAACAUAAACACCACAGAGAUCAAUAUAUAACUGACCAUUCAAGAGUAGCUAGGAGCCUGCUCGGAUCGAUCUUGAACACCAGAGCAACCACCUCGAUCAACUGUCCGAGUGAGUCAACUAAAGACCUCUCCGUUGAUCCGAAGAGUAAACCGGUGCCUCUAACCUGAGUCUAUUCACUUGACUGGGUUCAGUGGUUCAUCGUUAUGUUUAAAGCAAAUAAUGGUUCAUAAGCCGAGUCCUUAAACUGGUUAUAGACUUCUAGUAUUAGGUUUUUGGGUGUAAGAUUUGAUUUGAUUUGAUUUGAAAGACAAGAAAGUCAAUUAACUGAUGUAUAUUUUAGAUCAGACAGGGUGCAGUACAAUCCUAUUGCCCUGGUCUAGAACAGUGGGCUUGAUGAAAACCCCAAAUAUCUGGGCCAAAAGGGCCGUGGGUUUCGUGGGCUAGAUGUACUAAUCCAAAAUGAGCCUUUGAGGAAACAAAUUAUGUAUGUUAUGAUCUUAUGACUUGUGACGACUACCUAGAAGUGCUUUCUUCCUUUGAAAUCCAAGCAUUUUCAUAAAACCAGUGCACAUUCUGAUAAAUGAUCCUGAAAUGUGGAUUUUCAAAUGAAUGGUACAUUGGAACAUGAUGUUGGGAACUGGGAUAGGUGUGCAAGAAGAGUUUGUCAAAUGCUGCACAAAAUAAAGAUAGAUCGAUCUAUUCUCCUAUUUUUUUCCUAAUAUAAAGGCUAAACAUUUAGCAAUAACCAUUUAACAAAGAGUGCAUUAGUGGUUACUCUUUUUACGUUGCUUAAAACAUGACAUAACAGAAGGGUAUUAGCUCAUACAGAGCCAUAUAUUAUUAUGUUUAUCCAUUUUCUAAUCCCAUUAUGUUAAAGUUUUAUUCUGUCAUAAAAAGGUUGUAACCAUUUGACGAAGUAAGAAACUCGUUGCCUCAUUAGAACAGUCAUGACAGUAUGCGUGCACUUAAUAUGACCUAGCUCACGUUGCGCUAUUACAGAAGGUCUUAUUAAUGGCAUAAAACCGGAAAACAACGAAAAUACUAAACAAUAAAAUAAAAAAAGCAUAGAUUAAGGUACAUGUCCAGCUAGGAUUCCCUAAGGCAGCCCAACCCCAAGCCGUAACCAAAGCCCAAACAAUCAAAGAGAUUGCGGAAACCGCCCUCGCCCGCUAAGGAGAAUUCAAAUUUGCCAAUCAGCAAAUUUAUGGUCAUGGUAUGACCUACCACUAAAUAGCUGCCAUGUGCUUUAACCAUAGUUAAAUUAAUUAAUGAAAAAGAGAAAAAUAAUUUUAACUACAAUAAAUAAUACACAUAUAUAAUUACUAAUUUAAUUUCCUAAACCAUUCGUCUUCAUCAUUUUCUAACUCAGGUUGGUUUUCAUGAUUCUUAUUUGAAUCUGAAAAUCCUAAAAUCUCAAGAUAAGUUACUGAGAAUAACAUAUUUGAAAAUGGGAGAACAUUUUGAUGGGUAAUCGAGUGAAAUAAUGAAUAUGGGUGGAGUCUUUUUUUCUUUCUUUCUUUUUCGGCGAAGCACGCCCUGAGAUAAAUAGGCUGAUGUUGUUGAUAGUGUCUGGGCUUGGCUUGUCUUUUCUAUUAAUUCUUUGGUGACCUCUGUGGCACCCAGACUCAUUUGAGAGGAGAAUGAUGGAGUAAGGGAUAUGAGAGUGAGAUCACCUAUACUACCAAUUCUUCCAAUCAGCGUUUCAUAUGAGAGAGAAAGAGAAUCAAAGAGAGAUAGAGACAGAGUUCCCAAUCCAAAAGUUCGUAUCCACAACCACCAUCUUCUUUGGCGAAAAAUUUCGACUUCGACAUCCUUCAAGACGUCAACAGAAAAGUCUCUCAACCGGAGAGGGGUCGGGGAUGUGGUCGGGUCCAUACGGUUGUUGUGGUGAACUGGUGAUUAUGGGUGAAAGAGAAAGUUGUCGGCUGAUGGGUAAUUAGAUGAGUUUUUCUCUCUUCCAUUUAGGAGGUUUUGCAAUUGGAGUUUGUUGGGAUUUUUUAAGUUGCUGCAGACCUGGGUUUAUGGUUUGUGGCUAAGAGUUGGGAGAGACGAAGAAGAGGGUGAUUAAUCAAAGAAGUUUUGAUAGCACCGGUACCCUAACUUUUGUGGCACGGUCAAAGUGGUACCCAUACUUUAAAAACUAUCAAUGUGGUACCCAAACUCCUAUUUCGCUACCAAGGAAAGACCUGAGGCCAAUUUCCGUCACGGUGCCGUUUGUUUGCUGACGUGGCCGGCAUGGGCCCCACAAAAAAGGGCAAAAAGGACAUUUUACACUAUAUGCACCCAAAUCGAGUCAAAACUCGACUUCCCUCCCCCCAUCUCCUCUCGAACUCCCUGUUCUCUUCUCUCUUCUCUCUGAAACCAUAUCAGGACUAAAUCACACCUGCAUGUUCAUCACUUUUUCUCAGAAAUAUUCGAUCAAAGGAGGGGAAGCAGAGAUUCGCUACUUUUGAAGAGAUUCGACUGCAGAGAGUCAUGGAGAGUAGAAAGAUGUUUGGGAUUUUCAGGGAAUCUGGUCCCCCAAUACAAGACAGUAAGUUUCUUCUCUCUUUUCGAAUCUCUCUUUCGUAUUCUUCUGAAUCUUAUCUUACUCUUCGUCGUGUAUUGUUCUUCUUGGCAUAAUCAUCGAAUUUGGGGUUAAAAAUUGGUUAACUUCGAAUUAGGGAUUUAUUUAGUUUAGGGAUUUUCAGGUUAGUGGUUAAUANNN